CGUGGCCAGCAGAGGGCAGCCCAGGAAAGGCCCGGGUCUAUCCGGGACAGUCACCCGCCAGCGUCCAGGGACCCUCGCCGCACCCUCCAGCUGACCCCACCUUGCAGUAAGGGAUCGGAGCGGGAACAUGGUCACCAGCUCUCUAAAGCUCAGUAACAAAAACCACCCACAAGUAGACACAGCGACCGUUUCCAGAGCUUUCAUCUGUCUUUCCUGUGACCUCCGUGGCCGCGUGGGGUGACUGCGCCUGUCUGCCAAGAGGCGGAGACAGACUCGGACUGGGGACCGAGCGCCUGCGGCCGGAGUUGCAGGGCAGGCUUUGGGAACUCGUGACGCAGAGUCCGAGUGCCUCGGCCCCGUGUCCCCGGGGAGGGACGGGUGAACACCAGCACCCACCCCGGGGCUGAGCACCCAGUCACCAGGCUCCCAAUGCCGGGGCCGCCUGGGGCGCGCGUUCACACCAGCUGCGCGCACAGCGCUUUGGAGUCAUUCCCGGAGUUGCUGUAUAUCGGGGGUCCAUGCCCCAAGUUCCCCACCACAUAGUGGGACUUGUUCUCAGAGCUCAGACUGGGUUCCAGGGAACGAGCACUGUCCAGGGCGGGUCCUGGGAGGGAUGCCCUCGCACUGUGCAUUUCCAUUUGGUGCUGGAACGCAGCCUGAACUCCUGGGCGUCAGGCUCAGCUGUGUGCCCGCGAGUGAACCCCUCCGUGUAAUCGGUGGUCUGCACCCCGCACCCUGCGCGCCAGGCCAGCGUCUGAAGCUCACGUCGCCACAGCAGAAAGAAAGCGGCCAGGAAGAGGGGGUCCAUCAGGAGGCAGAUGGGAGCUGACCCAGGAGACAGAGGAAGAGGAAGUAGCUGUGCUGACCCGGGACUCGCUCAUGUCUGGGACACGUCUAAACUCCGCAGAGUCAGGAUCAAUUAUGGCUCUGUCUCCCAUCAGUCUGAACACGAAACACAUCACCUGCUAAACACAAACACGUCCCUGAGGGCACUGCCGGGGAGGGCCGGGGAGGGCCGCCCGAGGAGGAGUCCAGCCCCAGACCCGGGAACUGCGAGUGUGACCUUGUUUGGGAAAAGGGUCUUUGCAGAGGG
rnacentral:lncRNA from 1 species